rnacentral:rRNA from 1 species
GACGAACGCUGGCGGCGUGCUUAACACAUGCAAGUCGAACGGAAAGGCCCUUCGGGGUACUCGAGUGGCGAACGGGUGAGUAACACGUGGGUGAUCUGCCCUGCACUUUGGGAUAAGCCUGGGAAACUGGGUCUAAUACCGGAUAGGACCACGGCAUUCAUGUGCUGUGGUGGAAAGCUUUUGCGGUGUGGGAUGGGCCCGCGGCCUAUCAGCUUGUUGGUGGGGUAAUGGCCUACCAAGUCGACGACGGGUAGCCGGCCUGAGAGGGUGACCGGCCACACUGGGACUGAGAUACGGCCCAGACUCCUACGGGAGGCAGCAGUGGGGAAUAUUGCACAAUGGGCGCAAGCCUGAUGCAGCGACGCCGCGUGAGGGAUGACGGCCUUCGGGUUGUAAACCUCUUUCGCCAGGGACGAAGCGCAAGUGACGGUACCUGGAGAAGAAGGACCGGCCAACUACGUG